AAGAAGUGAAAAACUCAAAUCACAUAAAUGGUCUCACCAAAUUCCAAAUAUUGGACUCAAGAAGAGGAAAAAACAAAUGGGACCAAACCGGUUCGGUAUGUAGCAAUGUUGGACCGUGGGGACCGGACAAUAACAUACACAAAAAGAGACAAAUGAGUGCUGGAAGAAAGCAAAAUUUCACAUUGCUAUUUAUAUUUUUCUUCUUGAAUAAUUUUUUUUUUUUUUUUGUGAUAUAAGUAUUAUAACAUAUAUCUAUAUAAUAAGAUGUUUGUAUAUGUUAUGAUAUUGGGAAAAGUGAGUAAUAAUUAAUUGCAAUUGUAUGCUUAUAAUUAAAAAAGGACUGUCUCCAUUUCAUCAGUCAGUUUUGUUUGCACCUUACAAAGGACCAGAAGAGAGAACCUAUGAACAAAGUAAAAUACACAACCCGUGAUUUUUAUUUUUAUUUUUUCUAAUUUCUCUAUUCAUUUUUUUAUUUAUUUGGUUUUUUUUACUUUUUAACUAUCUGCACAUUUCUGAUACAAAUUGUCAUCUCAAAAACAAAAAACAAAAGACGUUAUUAACUUUCACGAAUUAGACAAUAGCUCCGGACACAAGAUCUAUCAAAUAUUUUUGGUAACAGAAACAAAA
rnacentral:lncRNA from 1 species